UGCUAACAAUUUUUUACUUAUUUUCACCUUGGUUCCUUCCCACUCACUACAACAAAAACGGUCUAUAACGACACUUUUAAAUAUAGGUACAUGUAAAAAAAGUGCUGCUAGCUAAAAUUACCGACACUUUUAAAAAGUGUUGCUAUAUGUGGGGUCGCUAAGUAUAUAGUGACAGUUAAAGAGUGUCGUUAUAAGCUAAAAAAGUGCUGCUAAUUUACCAACACUUAUUUAAACAUUUAGCAACCGCCGAAACUCUAUCUCGUUGGCUGCGGUGGCGGAGGAGGAUGACAGUAAAGGCUCUUCGUCUAGAAUUUCAGUGGAUUGAGUGAAGAAAGAAGAAAAGAUGGUAAUUGAUUUUUCUUUUUUUUUUUCUUUUCUGUUUGUAAUCGGGCCAAAUGGACUGGGUGUGGUGGGUUGAGUAGAGUAAUCUUUUAUUUUUGGUUGGAUUGGGUUUUAUAUUUAGGCAUUAGUAGAUGUGUUUUUAAGUUUUAGCAUAAAUGAGACACUUACUCAAAAGUGUCCCAAACAUGUGUCCCUAUAACCUAAUUCUGUUGUAGUGACUUCUUCCAUAUGUGCGCCCAUCGUGUCAAGCUUAAUCUUAUUACUCUUAAUAUUUUUUUAUGCCACUACGAUCACCUCAUAUUGCACAUGAUGUCUACUGUCUCUUUUGGAGUAUUCAACAUCCUUUGCAUCAAAUCAGG
rnacentral:lncRNA from 1 species